UCCCAGCAGUCCAAGUCGCAGCCACAUUUAUUGGGUCUAAAACAUCCGUAGCUUGCUUUGUAAGUCCUUUGUGAAAUCGGGAAUCUUAAGUUUCCGGCGUGCAAAGGAUACUACUUAGCUAGAGACCGGGAGACGUAAGAAGUACUGGUAGAGUAGCGGUAAAAUGCGUUGAUCCUACCUGGACUAACAAUAGCGAAGGCAUCUUACGAGAACGGAUCUGACAGUGAGGGAUGAAGGCUAGGGGCGCAAAGUG
rnacentral:rRNA from 1 species